rnacentral:rRNA from 1 species
GACGAACGCUGGCGGCGUGCCUAAUACAUGCAAGUCGAGCGGACUGGAUGGGAGCUUGCUCUUGUUCGGUCAGCGGCAGACGGGUGAGUAACACGUGGGCAACCUGCCCGCACGACCGGGAUAACUCCGGGAAACCGGAGCUAAUACCGGAUAACACCGAAGACCGCAUGGUCUUUGGUUGAAAGGCGGCGCAUGCUGCCACUUGCGGAUGGGCCCGCGGCGCAUUAGCUAGUUGGUGUGGUAACGGCUCACCAAGGCGACGAUGCGUAGCCGGCCUGAGGGGGUGAGCGGCCACACUGGGACUGAGACACGGCCCAGACUCCUACGGGAGGCAGCAGUAGGGAAUCUGCCGCAAUGGGCGAAAGCCUGACGGAGCGAGGCCGCGUGAGCGAAGAAGGCCUUCGGGUCGUAAAGCUCUGUUGUGAGGGAGGAAGGAGCGCCGUUUGAAGAAGGCGGCGCGGGGACGGUACCGCACGAGGAAACCCCGGCAAAUUACGU